GUAUUGAUUGCGUGUGACCGCAAAAAUAACAUUCUACACUGUAUCAAGUUUUGUGUGAAAACGCGAGCCCCCUCCGAGAUGAUCCCAAAGGGUGCCCACGCGGUGAUGCACAAAGGGUGAGAUGGAUUAUUAUGUGAGGAAACACACCCGGGCGUGCACGACAUUGAGUCAGCGACAGCCCUUGCAUGCCCCUCACAUUUUGUACGAUAAUGAUCCUUCCGCAGGUUCACCUACGGAAA
rnacentral:misc_RNA from 1 species